rnacentral:ncRNA from 1 species
AGGAAUAGACUUGUCGAGGGAGGGCCUUAAAUUUGACGUGUAACAAUAUAUAUAUUAAACCUUGUCAAAACUAGUUUAGACAAUGAGAAUCUGAUUGUUUAAUUAAAACAAAUCAUUUUGAUGGUCCCUGCGGAUGCUAACGCAGUGUGAUUUAUACCCAUUUCUCUUCAUGUGAAAGUGAAGAAAUUAAACCAAGCGCGGGUAAAUGACGGGAGUAAAUAUGACUCUCUUAAGGUAGUCAUAUGCCUGGUCAUCUAAUUAGUGACAUGCAUGAAUGGAUUAACAAGAUUCCCACUAACCCUAGCUACUAUCUAUAGAAACCACAGCCAAUGGAUAUUAGCAC